rnacentral:pre_miRNA from 1 species
UAUCUACUCCCUUCAUCCGAAAAAACUUGUCUCAAAUUGUCCUUCAAAUGUUUGUAUCUAGCACUAAUUUGAUGCUAGAUAUAUCUAUUUGAGGGACGAGCUUUUUCGGAGGGAGGGAGUACAUU